UACGUAGGCAGCGAGCGUUGUUCGGAGUUACUGGGCGUAAAGGGUGUGUAGGCGGUUGUUUAAGUUUGGUGUGAGAUCUCCCGGCUCAACUGGGAGGGUGCGCCGAAUACUGAGCGACUCGAGUGCGGGAGAGGAAAGUGGAAUUCCUGGUGUAGCGGUGAAAUGCGUAGAUAUCAGGAGGAACACCGGUGGUGUAGACGGCUUUCUGGACCGUAACUGACGCUGAGACACGAAAGCGUGGGUAGCAAACAGG
rnacentral:rRNA from 1 species